UACGUAGGUGGCAAGCGUUAUCCGGAUUUACUGGGUGUAAAGGGCGCGUAGGCGGGAUAGCAAGUCAGGUGUGAAAUCUAUGGGCUCAACCCGUAAACUGCACUUGAAACUGUUAUUCUUGAGGGAUGGAGAGGCAAGUGGAAUUCCUAGUGUAGCGGUGAAAUGCGUAGAUAUUAGGAGGAACACCAGUGGCGAAGGCGACUUGCUGGACAUUAACUGACGCUGAGGCGCGAAAGCGUGGGGAGCAAACAGG
rnacentral:rRNA from 1 species